rnacentral:rRNA from 1 species
GACGAACGCUAGCGGCGUGCUUAACACAUGCAAGUCGAACGGAAAGGCCCUGCUUUUGUGGGGUGCUCGAGUGGCGAACGGGUGAGUAACACGUGAGUAGCCUGCCCUUGACUUUGGGAUAACUUCAGGAAACUGGGGCUAAUACCGGAUAGGAGCUCCUGCUGCAUGGUGGGGGUUGGAAAGUUUCGGCGGUUGGGGAUGGACUCGCGGCUUAUCAGCUUGUUGGUGGGGUAGUGGCUUACCAAGGCUUUGACGGGUAGCCGGCCUGAGAGGGUGACCGGCCACAUUGGGACUGAGAUACGGCCCAGACUCCUACGGGAGGCAGCAGUGGGGAAUAUUGCACAAUGGGCGGAAGCCUGAUGCAGCAACGCCGCGUGCGGGAUGACGGCCUUCGGGUUGUAAACCGCUUUCGCCUGUGACGAAGCGUGAGUGACGGUAAUGGGUAAAGAAGCACCGGCUAACUACGUG